rnacentral:rRNA from 1 species
UCCUACGGGGGGCAGCAGUGAGGAAUAUUGGUCAAUGGGCGCAAGCCUGAACCAGCCAAGUCGCGUGAGGGAAGACGGUCCUAUGGAUUGUAAACCUCUUUUGUCGGGGAGCAAAGCGCGGUACGAGUACCGCGAAGGAGAGUACCCGAAGAAAAAGCAUCGGCUAACUCCGUGCCAGCAGCCGCGGUAAUACGGAGGAUGCGAGCGUUAUCCGGAUUUAUUGGGUUUAAAGGGUGCGUAGGCGGAUUUGUAAGUCAGCGGUAAAAAUGCGGUGCUCAACGC